CUCAUUCAAUAUUUUGGUGUUCUUUAUUUCCUUAUCUUCGUAAUAUUUCAAAUGAUUUACAUUGGUGAGGCGACCUCUAGAUUAUCUUUUUUUGGUUUAAUGGCUAUGUACACAAUUGGGGUCAACCUUACCCUCACUUGCGCCUUAAAUAAUGUCAUAUCAAAUAAGCCAGCUUGCAUCAACACGGCCUGAAGGUUACACGACAUGGAUGACUGGUUAUAAGCUAAAAAAUCAACAUGAAAGGGGGAUGGGGGUGAUUUGAAGAGUGAGAUAAUAAAAUUGUCGCGUUCAUCAUAUUAGAUAAAGCACAAGAAGAAAAUUGUUUUCAGGUAUUGACAGAGGUAUGAUUCAAUAACAAGUGCGAAUAAUUUAUAGCUAAAUCUGUCUAUUGUGUGAACAGCCAACCUUCAUGCCCUCAAUAUCUUUCAUGAAAGUGAACGGUGAAAUACAACUUUCAUCAAGGACUACUUGUUGUUUCUCUUCUCCAUAGGCAACUUAGUUUCCUCCCCUAAAAAGUAAAAUCAGAUAACUCUGUUUUGGACAUUUGCUCAGCUUCAAUGAAACACAAAAGCGAUACCUUAAUGUCGUCAUUGUAGCUACCUUUUUUGGAAAGAAAACAGAUCAAAGCCCUUGAUGCUUAUGAAUUUUUUUUACUAGUUUGUAGUAUUGCCAACUUGAGGCGCAUUAUAGAGGUUAGUUUGCUUAGAUGCCUUGCUCAUGGAUCUUGUAUACCAUUAAGUGUUACAUAGGAGUUUGGACCUGGGACUUGGCACAUGCUAUCUACUUAGUUGUACACAUAUGAAAAGUGCAUUUUAGCAUUUGGCAAUCUUAUGUGUAUGGAGGAAUUUUACCAUUGGUCUCUGAAUUUUGUUUCGUUCUGUUUCUUUGAUUAAUUGUUGUGUGCUCUAAAAACAACAGAGUGGAGGUGGACUAGCUGAAUUUGUAGUGGCUAAGAAGGGCUUGCCAGUUGCAAGGCCACCUGAAGUUUCAGCAGCUGAAGGUGCAGGCUUGCCUGUUGCUGGGCUCACAGCUCACCAGGCUGUCACUCAAUCUGCUGGGGUCAAGCUUGAUGGAAGUGGUAACCAGAAAAAUAUUCUGAUCACUGCUGCCUCAGGUGGUGUAGGUCACUAUGCAGUUCAGCUUGCAAAGCUUGGAAACACUCAUGUGACUGCCACUUGUGGGGCUCGUAACAUCGAAUUUGUGAAGAGCUUAGGUGCUGAUGAGGUUCUGGAUUACAAAACCCCAGAAGGAGCAGCUCUGAAGAGCCCAUCUGGUAAGAAAUAUGAUGCUGUGAUCCACUGCGCUGCUGGCGUUCCUUGGAGCACUUUUGAGCCAAAUCUGAGUGCAAAUGGGAAGGUUAUAGAUAUCACUCCUGGCCCCAGUGCCUUCAUGACUUUUGCUUUUAAGAAACUUACCUUCUCCAAGAAGCAGCUGGUGCCGCUGCUUUUGAUUCCCAAUGGUGAGAACCUGAAUUAUCUUGUUAAUCUGGUAAAGGAAGGGAAGCUUAAAACAGUCAUCGACUCAAAGCAUCCAUUAAGCAGGGCUGAAGAUGCUUGGGCAAAGAGUAUCGACAGUCAUGCUACUGGGAAGAUCAUUGUGGAGCCGUGAAUGAAAAUAAUGUGCUUGAAUUGCUAAAAUUUCUGCAACUGUGAGGUCUUUCCUGUACAAUGUGGAUCCGAUGGCAUACACAGCUGAUGAGGCAUUGUAUGAUGCGUGAUCUUGCACACCAAUUUCUUUUGACUGGAUGUUUCCCUAAAUGAUAGGGUUUGGGUUGAGUUUAUUAACUAUUGAUUAUGUUUGUUCUUCAAUAUCAGAUGCUUUUUUUUUCAUUUUGGUGUUAUUUUAUUUAAUGACGUGAGACUCACCCAUAUGGGCCAAUUCUAGGUAUAUUUUGUCGUCUAGAGAAUUGAUGUCCUAUGUUGCAGGGGACAUUUCCACUAACUAUAACUAUGAAAAGCUAAAUACGACAAAAAGGUGAUCACUUAGGUUUUUUUUUUAUUUUUUAUUUGGAGACCUGAUGAUGAGAGAGAAAGCCUGAAGAGAUUUUUGAGAGAGAAUUGGGCUAACGGAGCUAUAACUCCGCCACCCACUGUUGUUAAGAGAAAUCAUUGUUGGUAUUUUACUGGAAAAACUGAUUUCGAGGCAGCCAUAUUCGUCAGGUUGGUGCUCCUCCAGUCACCGUUAGAUCUGUACCAUAUUGCUUAGAGAGGUUCACUUGGGUAUCCUUUUUGUUCUUAACGGUGGAGAUCAGAUUUGCACAACUUUGGAAUUGGAUGACCAAACCAUUGAUGCCAAACUCCAUGGCAAAGUUUAUGAUAAAUAACACUUGAGAACUAUAGUUAGAGGGUUGGUAUUGAAGUAGGUACAAACCAUUUUUAAUUGUUCUGGAUAUAAGAAUAACUUUAAAAAAUAAGAUGAAAGUGAUUAUGAAAUUUAAAGAAAACAUUAUUAUCUAAAGCAAAUUAUCUUAUAGAAAAAAUGAAUUUCAUGAUUAGAGUCAUGUGAGGUUAAAUUAUUAUUAUUAUUAUUAUUUUGUUUAAAAAAAAUGGUAUAAAUUGUGUUCACAGCAAACAAAACAGGCAUAAAUUCCUUGGGGGCAUAGUUUGAAUAUAAGCUAAGUCUAACAGAGCUAAACCAAUAUGCUUCGAUAAACCUAAAUGAGAUUGACUAGACUUGUUUAAAGGGAAAGCUAUUUAAUUAAAAUGAUAAUUACCCGAGGAAAAAUCAGAAGAGCCUUAUUAGAGAGAAUUUAAUGCAAGAUAGGAGAAUAUGGAUGACCAAACCAUUGAUGCCAAACUCCAUGACAAAGUUUAUGAUAGAUAACACUUGAGGACCAUAGUUAGAGGGUUGGUAUUGAAGUAGGUACAAACCAUUUUUAAUUGUUCUGAACAUAAGAAUAACUUUAAAAAAUAAAAUGAAAGUGAUUAUGAAAUUUAAAGAAAACAUUAUUAUCUAAAGCAAAUUACCUUAUAGAAAAAAUAAAUUUCAUGAUUAGAGUCAUGUGAGGUUAAAUUAUUAUUAUUAUUAUUUUGUUUAAAAAAAAUGGUAUAAAUUGUGUUCACAACAAACAAAACAGGCAUAAAUUCCUAGGGGGCAUAGGUUGAAUAUAAGCUAAGUCUAACAGAGCUAAACCAAUAUGCUUCGAUAAACCUAAAUGAGAUUGACUAGACUUGUUUAAAGGGAAAACUAUUUAAUUAAAAUGAUAAUUACCCGAGGAAAAAUCAGAAGAGCCUUAUUAGAGAGAAUUUAAUGCAAGAUAUGAGAAUAUGGAUGACCAAACCAUUGAUGCCAAACUUCAUGAUAAAGUUUAUGAUAGAUAACACUUGAGGACCAUAGUUAGAGGGUUGGUAUUGAAGUAGGUACAAACCAUUUUUAAUUGUUCUGAACAUAAGAAUAACUUUAAAAAAUAAAAUAAAAGUGAUUAUGAAAUUUAAAGAAAACAUUAUUAUCUGAAGCAAAUUACCUUAUAGAAAAAAUGAAUUUCAUGAUUAGAGUCAUGUGAGGUUAAAUUAUUAUUAUUAUUAUUAUUAUUUUGUUUAAAAAAAAUGGUAUAAAUUGUGUUCACAACAAACAAAACAGGCAUAAAUUUCUAGGGGGGAUAGUUUGAAUAUAAGCUAAGUCUAACAGAGCUAAACCAAUAUGCUUCGAUAAACCUAAAUGAGAUUGACUAGACUUGUUUAAAGGGAAAGCUAUUUAAUUAAAAUGAUAAUUACUCGAGAAAAAAUCAGAAUAGCCUUAUUAGAGAGAAUUUAAUGCAAUAUACGAGAAUAUGGAUGACUAAACCAUUGAUGCCAAACUCCAUGACAAAGUUUAUGAUAAAUAACACUUGAGGACUAUAGUUAGAGGGUUGGUAUUGAAGUAGGUACAAACUAUUUUUAAUUGUUCUAGAUAUAAGAAUAACUUUAAAAAAUAAGAUGAAAGUAAUUAUGAAAUUUAAAGAAAAUAUUAUUAUCUAAAGCAAAUUAUUUUAUAGAAAAAAAAAAUUUCAUGAUUAGAGUCAUGUGAGGUUAAAUUAUUAUUAUUAUUAUUAUUAUUUUGUUUAAAAAAAAUGGUAUAAAUUGUGUUCACAACAAACAAAACAGACAAAAAUUCCUAGGGGGCAUAGUUUGAAUAUAAGCUAAGUCUAACAGAGCUAAACCAAUAUGCUUCGAUAAACCUAAAUGAGAUUGACUAGACUUGUUUAAAGGGAAAACUAUUUAAUUAAAAUGAUAAUUACCCGAGGAAAAAUCAGAAGAGCCUUAUUAGAGAGAAUUUAAUGCAAGAUAUGAGAAUAUGGAUGACCAAACCAUUGAUGCCAAACUCCAUGACAAAGUUUAUGAUAGAUAACACUUGAGGACCAUAGUUAGAGGGUUGAUAUUGAAGUAGGUACAAACCAUUUUUAAUUGUUCUGGACAUAAGAAUAACUUUAAAAAAUAAAAUGAAAGUGAUUAUGAAAUUUAAAGAAAAUAUUAUUAUUUUAAAAAAUUAUCUUAUAAAAAAAAUGAAUUUCAUGAUUAGAGGCAUGUGAAGUUAAAUUAUUAUUAUUAUUAUUAUUAUUAUCUUUAAAAAAAAUGAUAUAAAUUAUGUUCACAGUAAAUAAGCAAAUAAAACAGACAUAAAUUUUUAGGGGGAUUGUUAUAACCGACUUGUAUUUUGUCCUUUCCAUUAAUACAAAAAAAAAAGAUACCAAAAGUUUGUCGUUUCCCGUUAGGCAGACAUGUGGAACACAGUACGCCUUUCUUAUAUCUCUUUUAAGUUUAACCGUUAAAGCCACCACCUCCUCUCCUGCCAGUUCCUAUUACGCUCCACCUCUUUUUUCUUCUCUUCUUUCCGUGCCCAGUUUUUUUUCCUUCUGUUUCUCUGAUAACAGCGGCGUCGCUUCUACUGGAUAUGGCGGGGAAGCUGAUGCAUGCCGUUCAGUAUAGCACCUAUGGAGGAGGCGCCGCUGGUUUAAAGGUUAAUUGUUUUUUUAACCAAAUUUUGGUAGCGUAAUUAUAUGUCCCUUUUCUUUUCUUUGAUCACCAUUUAGUUAGUUAGUAAUUGUUGAAACAUGGAGAUGAAUUAUAGAUUGUUGCCCCCAUUUCUUUUUGUUUCUAAAUUAAAUAAUAAUAAUGGUGGUGGUGGUGGUGGAGGAGGAGAAGGAUUAGAUGUAAUGUGAGUUUUGCUUUAAUUUUUGAUAAAAUAGUUAAAUAAUAAAGGUGUUUGAAAGUGUGAAAUUGUUAUUUUUAAAAUAUUUCUUUUAAAAAUAUGUUAAAAUAAUUUUUUUUAAUAUCAAAUUAUUAAAAUAAUAAAAUAUAAAACAAUAUAUAUAUAUAUAUUAAAUCAAUUUGAACCGCAAUCCGAAACACGCACGAAAAAGAGGCAUUGAUGCACCUACUGUGAGUUACUGCUAUUAUAUAAAUAGUUUUGCUUGUUGUAGCAUGUUGAGGUUCCAGUCCCUAGUGCCAAGAGAGACGAGGUUUUGCUCAAGUUAGAAGCAACUAGUCUAAACCCAGUCGAUUGGAAGAUGCAGAAUGGGUUGUUGCGCCCCCUACUCCCUUGGAGAUUCCCUUACGUCCCCGGUGAUUCACUUCUUUCUUUAUGUGGACUUUGAUUUUUAUAUGUAAUCUGACUCAGACACUAUCUUACUGCUUGUUAAGGCUUUUGAUUGCACAUAAAUUCCGCCAUAUAGCCUAAUCCACAAGGAUUCUUUGUAAUGUUAGUUGAUUGCAUGAUUUUCUUCUUUUAGGUGCUUACUCAUUAUUUUGAUUUGGGCCGUGUUUGUUUCCUGGAAUUCACUUUCCGGAAAACCACUUUCCAAACUUUCCUAUGUUUGUUUGCUAUUAGGAAAGUUGGUCAACGGAAAACACUUUUCGGUCAAAGAAAAAUUUGGUUUGGUUUUCAGGAAAGUGUUUUCCCUUUUGGCUGUGUUUGUUUUCCGGAAAGUGGUUUCCGGGAAACCACUUUUCAAACUUUCCUGUGUUUGUUUGCCAUUAGAAAAGUUGGUCAACGGAAAACACUUUCCAAUCAAAGGAAAAUUUGGCUUGGUUUUCAGGAAAGUAUUUUCCUGGAAAAUUUGGGCGGAAAACACUUUCCGGAAGUUGUGAAAAAUUUAGAAAUGUCAUUAUUUGCUGAUUAUAUCAAAUUUGAUCCUCAAACUUUUGAUUGCUAUAUAUAAUUUGUUUUGAAUAUUUAUUUUUCAAUUUCAUCUCUUAAAAUUUAAUUUUUAUAUUAAUUUUGGUCCUUAUUUUUAUAAUUGCUAUUUGCUUUUUCCUUAUCAUUUUUUUAUUGAAAUUUUUUAUCUAUCAAAUUUGAUCCUCAUUUUUUUUUAUUGUUACUUAUUUUAUUUGAAAUAAUUUAUAAAAUGUUAAUUGUUAUUAUUUUAAUUUCUUCACCUUUUUUUUUUUUUAAUUUUUUAGAUUUGAUCUCUAUUUUUUUGAUUAUUAUUUAUUUUAUUUGAGAUAAUUUAUGAAAUUAUAUUUUUUUUCAAUCUCAUUCUUAUUUAACUUUUUAAUUUGUAAGAUUUGUUCCUCAUUAUUUUAAUAAACUUGAGAAAAAUAAAACAUUAAUAAGUUAUUUUCCAGCUCAUUUUCCAUGACAUAACCAAACACUAGAAAAUAUUUUCCAACUUAUUUUUCAUUACACUACCAAACAUCGGAAAAUUCUUUCAUGAAAUUCACUUUCCCGGAAUUUACUUUUCCCGAAAUUCACUUUCCAAAAAGAAACUACUUUUCAGCAAACAAACGGGACUUAGGAUUUAAGUUUGUAACGGUGUGGUGUUGCAUCUAGGAAACUUUGGAAACGGGUUUGGUGUUACUGGGGACCAUCUCAAUAGAAUCGUUUCCAUAUAAAUAUUAAAUACUAGUUGUCAAUAUUAAAUAUUAGUUGCCAAUUCGAUACUUUUUUGUUCCUUUGUUUAGCUUUCAGAAUGCGGAACUUGGAAACUGGCAUACCUUUGUCAUUUUUUUAUGGUAUAUGACAAUGCAAAAGCAAUAAUCUUUACUUACCAUUUCAAACGUUUGACUUCAGUUCAGUGGUGUCAAAGUUUUGGGAAUUCGUGUUGGGGUGCUGUUUGGCAGAAGGUUUCCUUUCCAUGGUUACUCUGUCAGUUCCAGUGGCUUGUGGGUUCUUUACUUGGUCUCGUUUAAGCAAUGUAAAAGCUUAAAAAGAGGGUUCCUUGUUAAGAUUAGAUGGUUGUUGUGGUCACUGCUCCAGGACUUGCACCAUACUCUCUGUUCAAUGAACUGCCCCAUAUGUCAACAAAGAUCUACAAUUUUUAAAACAAGAUACAAAUGGAGAAACAACUGAUCUAAACUUUAUUUCCAGCACCCUUCUGAAAGAUAGCUUGUAAUCCAUGUGGUUAACAUUCUUUCAAUCUCAUGCUGAAAUAUUAAUUUCAUAGUUUUAGCAGUACUGUGUGUUUGCCAAGCAUGCAUUCACACACACACAGCGUUCACUUUUUGGCUGAAGAAACCUUUGUCGCAACAGGCGCUGAUGUGGCAGGAGAGGUUGUAGAGGUUGGACCAGGAGUAACAAAUUUCAAAACUGGUGACAAAGUUGUAGCUAUUCUAAGCCACAUUGUAAGUGCUCAUUCAAUAUUUUGGUGUUUUUUAUUUCCUUAUUUUCGUAAUAUUUCAAAUGAUUUACAUUGGGGUCAACCUUACCCUCACUUGCGCCUUAAAUAAUGUCAUAUCAAAUAAGCCAGCUUGCAUCAACACGGCCUGAAGGUUACACGACAUGGAUGACUGGUUAUAAGCUAAAAAAUCAACAUGAAAGGGGGUUGGGGGUGAUUUGAAGAGUGAGA
rnacentral:lncRNA from 1 species